GACAGAGGAUGCAAGCGUUAUCCGGAAUGAUUGGGCGUAAAGCGUCUGUAGGUGGCUUUUAAGUCCGCCGUCAAAUCCCAGGGCUCAACCCUGGACAGGCGGUGGAAACUACCAAGCUGGAGUGACGGUAGGGGCAGAGGGAAUUUCCGGUGGAGCGGUGAAAGUGCGUGAGAGAUCGGAAAGAACACCAACGGCGAAAGCACUCUGCUGGGCCGACACUGACACUGAGAGACGAAAGCUAGGGGAGCGAAUGGG
rnacentral:rRNA from 1 species